GGUGGGGUGAUCCUUGGCGGCGUUGUUGUGGCAGCUGGUGUUUGCCUUCUGCCUGGAGUAUGAGCUCAGCUUUCGCUUCUUUUCCGUGAGCCGCGGUGAAGCUGCAAAGAUUCCCGGUUUUUACAUCUUACGAAGACAAAAACAAACAAACAAAACACCCCUUGCAGCUUUGGCAGAAAGCGAGAGAGUGCGAGAGCGCGCAAGCAGAUUUAAACAAGCCGUUUCACCCUUUUUUCUGUUGUCUUGUAACUCAGGUGGCUCUAUUCACAUGUUAUGUUCACUGCACAUACAUUUCCUGUCGGGAGGGCGCGGAGGAUACUGAACAUAUACUUACUCCAGAAUAGAGUUCUGAAGCUUGGGAGCUGAAGAACUGGGCCAAUUUGAGAUUAUGAAAAAAUACUACAGGAAACCUUGAGUAAAAUAUAAACUACGAAGAAGACCAGUUUCAGUUGAAACUUGUUUAGUGUAUCUCAAGCUUACUCACUUCUUGGCAGUGCUGAAAGUGGAACAUAUUGUCUUGCAGGAGCUGUUGGAGCCAGAGUUUGUUUCUAUAAAAAAAAGACUAGUGCCCAGGAUAGUCACAACUGAACACUUACAUUGAGAUCGAUGGAAGAAGCUUCUGUUUGUAAAAUGUGGGGUUGUUUGUAACACUCUCCAACCUUUUACAAGGUUGUGAAGGACAUAAGGCCAGUGCCUGUUAGCAGUAGCUGACUGAGUAUUUUUAUCUCUUGGAUAAGAGAAUCAAUUCUGUAGUAAUCUCCUAUUAGCAAAUAUGUGGAUUUCAGUGAAAUUGGUUUUAUAUUGAUGUAUGAAGGCUGAAUGUCAGUACAAAUUAAAUUUUGAAAUGUU